rnacentral:miRNA from 2 species
CUCGAGUGUGGAGAGCAUGGGA